CCCCUCCCCACACCUCCCGCCGGAUCCUCUCCCCUGCCUGCCUCCUUCUCCGGGGAUCGCCACUGGGGCCGCCCAGAUCACGUACAAUAACCUCCCCAUUUUAAAGCCAGCCGUUGGGCAGCCUCGUUCCUCCCUGACGUGCAGUAUGACCUGAUCACAGAUUAUGGGGCGCAUCUGGCGGUGGAGGCGUCUCUUCCGCCUACGGCAGGUGGCAGACAAGACAAAUUUGGGGAAGCUGAUGCUACAGUGCAGAUGGGCUAAACAACCACCUGCUCUCAUGGGCUGAAAUAUGAAACUUACACCAGGACGUCAGAGAUACCUUAAUAAUUUUGACGACUUCUCCUUGAGGCCCUCCCAUUUGAAUGUGGGAUCUGGUCCCAAGAAGGAUUGGAGCCCCGUUAGACGCUGGUUGGGGAAACACCCACUUGUCCUGUGAAACCUGAGCAGGGAGGCUGGGCUCCCCUCAGCCCCACCAGGGAGCUCUCCACAACUAGCCUCUCUGGAAGGAACCGUUUCUCAGGCGCCAGUAGAUGAGGAAAUUCCCUGAUCUCAUACUUCCCGUGGGUCUCACUGCCACGUCUGUCACCCUGCGGACAUGCAACAGCGGGAGGCGGGCUGGGCCAAGGCCGUGUCGGGCCAUGGCCUCCAGAGCUGUCACCGUCCUCUGUCCUGCCCAGUUCUCUCCGGACUAUCCACUUGACUUCAUUUAAAGGGAUGUCGCCUUGGGGCAGCCCGACUGUGCAGCUGGUGUUUUCCUGUGCACCACCCCAGCGCUGAGCACCAGGUGGUACCAGGACCAGGUGUGCCACCGAGCUACUGGCUUGGCCUCCUAAUGGAUGUGACCCCCUGUGCCUCCACAUCUCCUCUCUACCAGCUCCCUCUAAAGACUGUAGCCUUUGAAAUAUAAAUAUGUUUAUCUCCCCUUAAAACUCCUCAGUCAUCUAUCCUCAGAUAAGCCUGCUGACUUCCCCAGGCUCCCCCAGCCCUCAUCGCCUGGCCUUGUGUCUCCUCUGGCACACUUUACACUGUCCCUCCACGUCUUUGCUCUUCAUCCACGCUGACCUUGAUUUAGUUUCUCCCUCACUUGCUCCGUUUUACUAACUCAGGUCCUUCUGUUAUCAUCCGUGGUCCCCCAAACCUGCUGCCCACUUUGCCUGGGCAGUCAGGCCUCAUCCUCACGUGUCUCAGGACCCUCACGUCUGUUACCAGGCCUCCAAAUUCCACGUCUUUAUACCGCAGACCACACAUCAUGAUCUACAGCGAUAUACUUGUGCAUUUUUAAAUUAUUAUCUGACAUUCCCCACAUCAUCGUCUCAUUAAAGA